rnacentral:rRNA from 1 species
GGAUGAACGCUAGCGAUAGGCUUAACACAUGCAAGUCGAGGGGCAUCACGAAUUAGCAAUAGUUUGGUGGCGACCGGCGCACGGGUGCGUAACACGUAUACAACCUACCUUCAAUUGGGGGAUAACCUGGAGAAAUUCGGACUAAUACCCCAUAGUAAACAGAGGAGGCAUCUUUUUUGUUUUAAAGAUUUAUUGAUUGGAGAUGGGUAUGCGUAGGAUUAGCUAGUUGGUAAGGUAACGGCUUACCAAGGCGACGAUCCUUAGGGGUUCUGAGAGGAAGGUCCCCCACACUGGUACUGAGACACGGACCAGACUCCUACGGGAGGCAGCAGUGAGGAAUAUUGGUCAAUGGUCGAGAGACUGAACCAGCCAAGUCGCGUGAAGGAAGACGGCUCUAUGAGCUGUAAACUUCUUUUGUACAGGAGUAAAGUGAGACACGUGUGUUUUAUUGCAAGUACUGUACGAAUAAGCAUCGGCUAACUCCGUGCCAGCAGCCGCGGUAAUACGGAGGAUGCAAGCGUUAUCCGGAUUUAUUGGGUUUAAAGGGUGCGUAGGCGGUAUUACAAGUCAGGGGUGAAAUCUUGGUGCUUAACAUUAAAAUUGCCUUUGAAACUGUGGUACUUGAGUGUAAAAGAGGUAGGCGGAAUGUGUUGUGUAGCGGUGAAAUGCAUAGAUAUAACACAGAACACCGAUUGCGAAGGCAGCUUACUAUCAUACAACUGACGCUGAUGCACGAAAGCGUGGGGAGCAAACAGGAUUAGAUACCCUGGUAGUCCACGCAGUAAACGAUGAUUACUAGCUGUUAGCGAUAUACUGUUAGUGGCUAAGCGAAAGCAAUAAGUAAUCCACCUGGGGAGUACGUUCGCAAGAAUGAAACUCAAAGGAAUUGACGGGGGCCCGCACAAGCGGAGGAACAUGUGGUUUAAUUCGAUGAUACGCGAGGAACCUUACCCGGGCUUGAAAUGCUAUCGACCGACGGAGAGAUUCGUUAUCCAGCAAUGGCGAUAGUGUAGUGCUGCAUGGU